rnacentral:rRNA from 1 species
UACGUAGGGCGCAAGCGUUUGUCCGGAAUUAUUGGGCGUAAAGAGCUCGUAGGCGGCUUGUCGCGUCGUUCGUGAAAAUCCCCGCAGCUCAACUGCGGGCUUGCGGUCGAUACGGGCAGGCUCGAGUUCGGUAGGGGGAGACUGGAAUUCCUGGUGUAGCGGUGAAAAUGCGCAGAUAUCAGGAGGAACACCGGUGGCGAAGGCGGGUCUCUGGGCCGAUACUGACGCUGAGGAGCGAAAGCGUGGGGGAGCGAACAGG